rnacentral:misc_RNA from 1 species
AACUUUUAGCAACGGAUCACUUGGCUCUUGCAGCGAUGAUGAACGCAGCGAACUGCGAAAAGUAAUGUGACCUGCAAACUUUGUGAAACAUCCAAUCUUUGAACGCAACUUGCACCUAAUAGCAUUUGUUAUUAGGUAUACUUGUUUGAGUAUCUUCUACCAACUCUUACACACUCGUGUGUACGGAAUUGGGCCUCUUGAUAAAGUCGCUUUAAAGAAAGGCCAGAUGAUGUUUCUGAACGUCAAGGUCUAUUGGGAUAGCAUCCUAACAAUAGACUGUUCUCGAAAUAUUGGUUUAUUUUGAACUCUGAUCUCAAAUCAAGUAAGGAUACCCGCCGAAUUUAAGCAUAUCAAUAAGCGGAGGCU